GACGAACGCUGGCGGCGUGCCUAAUACAUGCAAGUCGAGCGAAGUUUUUCUGGUUCUUGCACUAGAAAAACUUAGCGGCGAACGGGUGGGUAACACGUAAAGAACCUGCCUCAUAGACUGGGACAACUAUUGGAAACGAUAGCUAAUACCGGAUAACAGUAUUUCUCGCAUGAGAGAUAUUUAAAAGUUGGUUAUGCUAACACUAUGAGAUGGCUUUGCGGUGCAUUAGCUAGUUGGUGGGGUAAAGGCACACCAAGGCGACGAUGCAUAGCCGACCUGAGAGGGUGAUCGGCCACACUGGGACUGAGACACGGCCCAGACUCCUACGGGAGGCAGCAGUAGGGAAUCUUCCGCAAUGGGCGAAAGCCUGACGGAGCAACGCCGCGUGAGUGAAGAAGGAUUUCGGUUCGUAAAGCUCUGUUGUUAGGGAAGAAUGGAUAUGUAGUAACUAUACAUGUAAGAGACGGUACCUAACCAGAAAGCCACGGCUAACUACGUG
rnacentral:rRNA from 1 species